rnacentral:lncRNA from 1 species
AUGUCAACUAAAUCACGUUCAGCCUCUUGUUUCAAAGGGGGGCCAUCAGUGCAGUGGGGAGAUGGAAGCAGGGCACGCUGGCUGGGGACCAGGCUGGGGUCAUUGUGGGUUAUUGACAAACUCCUUGUACUGCGUCCUGAGGGUCUGGAUCUGCUGCUGGCAGGCCAGCGCCACUGCUGGGCCCCCGGGGAGUACUCGUUGCUGAGCGUCACCUGGUAUUGGCCGAGCCCCAGGCCUGGGCUCUGUGGCUGCUGGCUGAUGGCGUCGUCAGAGUUCCAGAGCUGCAGGGGCUGUGCUCCUCCACAGCCAAGAAGCAGGUGCAAUAGGUGGGCACCAUGAUGUUCCGCAGGGAGGCCAGCAGCUUCCUGGCCUGCUUGUGCUGGCUGUGAGGGAGAGACUCUCCUCGUGUCAGGACACAGGGGCACAGCAUGUCACCUAUCAGGCAGGUGAGGGGCAGCCACAGCUCGAAGUGCACACCUUCAGCCGUGAUGUGUUCUAGAGGAGGGCCGUCAACCACUCACAGUGGGUGGCGGCGGCAGUGUUCCGCAGGGAGGCCAGCAGCUUCCUGGCCUGCUUGUGCUGGCUGUGAGGGAGAGACUCUCCUCGUGUCAGGACACAGGGGCACAGCAUGUCACCUAUCAGGCAGGUGAGGGGCAGCCACAGCUCGAAGUGCACACCUUCAGCCGUGAUGUGUUCUAGAGGAGGGCCGUCAACCACUCACAGUGGGUGGCGGCGGCAGCAGNUUUGGUGCAUGUGUCGUUGAUGAGCUCAGCAGGUGGACAACUCAUUCAUGUGCAGCUGGGUCUCCUCCAGGAGCUUGUGCGUCUGCUGCUUCACUGCAUGGGCCACAGCAACCUGACAGGUGCCAUUUGAAUUGGGUCCUGCUUGGUGCAAGUGGGGCAGAUCAAAGACCUGGAGAAAGUUUAUCUCAGGUAGAAUAGGUGCAAAGGUCCUGAGGCAAGCGGGAGAUUGCAUUCUGGAGGAACAGAAGGGGGCUGCUAGGGCUGGAGCCCAGUGAGUCAGGGGAAGGAAGGCAGACAGUAGGUGGAACCCAUCAUGUAGGGCUGAAUGUGGUUGGAGUUUUUGUAAAUGCUACAGGAGAACUUUGGGGCAGGCCAGUCACAACAUUUGCAUGUUGAAGUGUUGAAAAGAUAAGAAGAUCCACUAAUAAAUAAUGUAAGUGUGCAGACUGCCA